ACUGCUUCAUAUGAGAUACGAACUGCAUGACCUGCUGAUGGCGAAGUGCUGCUUCCAUGGAAGAUGCAGCUUUAAACAAUAAGAGAAAGCAUCAACCCUCUCCUGCCAUAUUUUGAACUUUGGAGUGUGCACAAGGAUGGAAAAAUACAGAAGGAUGGAAAAACACAAGGAGUGGUGGGACACAACGCAAAGUGAGUCUGAGCUGCCUUUAACUUCAGCCUUUGCACUGUGCCAAUACACCAGGAAGAUGCAGUUUAUUCUACCAGGAAUGCUGAUAUCGCAAACACCUAUUUAAACACAGAAGUGUUGGAGGUUUGAACAUCUUUUAUGAAUACUACACCACUGUUUUAAGAAAAGACAAAUACAAGGAGGGAGAAAACAGAACCUCUGGGAUUUUUCUUUUUCCCUACAAAGUGCUAUGGGUGAAGGCUGUGGAGAAAAAUCUUCCCUGCCAGAAGCUGUGUACAGCAUGGGUUUCCCCAGUUCAGAUUUGAACCUCCCACCAGUUGUGUGACCUUCGGGCUGUGGUCCUAGGGAGAAGUGUUCACCUGCUUGUUGAUUCACUGCCGGCUGUGUUCCCUGACUGCAAUCAGAGCACAUUUUCCCCUUCAGAAGUUUAGAAUCAAGGAGAAGGUAAACACAUGCCAAAUCUUGCAGUGAUGUUGGCCCGCUCCCAAAGUUGCAACAUAAUGAAGAAAACGUUCAGUUUAGAACUCUGUGCCCCUUUUUUACAACAUUCCUUAGCAAGCCCUCUCUACCAUGGCAUUACUGCUUCAUCCCAGGAAUAAUUCACCUGAUGCACCCUGAGACCAUGCUGCCUUUUUCACAGGAUGGGAUGUGACCUUCGGCUGCCCUGGGCAGAUUCUCCUAGGUGACUGUACUGUGGGACUGUACAGAGCCAUGCUGGAUCAGAAAUGGAAAACAGAACCAUAGCCAGCAACAGAUGGAUAGAAGAAUUUUGGCUGGAUGUUGCACAAAAAGGUCUACGUACUCUUAGGUUUGUGGUAGAAGAGUUCUCCAAGAUGCUAAUUUUAGGUACAGUUUGAUGUAGAACAUUUGUUCUUCAAUAUCGACGACCUUCUUCAAAAGCACACAUUAUUCCAGACCUUGGGUAUGACAUAAAGGGUUAAGCUGUCCUGUUGUACGGAGAAGCCAGAGCCGCCUCACUGCUCUGUGAAAUCCAAGGAAAGCAGUGGCUCCCGAAAUUCCCUCCCUUGCCUGAACAGUUUGAAGACUGGUUUCUGUCCUAACUUGGUCUGAAUCUGCCUUUGGUGCCAUUGUGGAGGGAGAAAACACUUCAACUGUGGCUUUCCCAACAGCCUUUUCCUGGGAUGGAUAUUUUCUUCUACAGAAGAAACUUCUACAGAGAAAUUCUGAUACGGUCAACUAACUAGAGCAUCUGGUGUAUGCAGCUGGUCUAAGGAUUCAGCAAGAGGUGAGACCAGGAGCUGUUUAAUCACCACAAACAUGAAGACUAACCCAAGCAUGCUCUCCCUUCUCUGGAGGAAGUCAAGCAGCAGCACUGAGGCAUAAAUGUUCAAGUCCCUUCCAGACGUCUUGCCUGCUUCUGCCUUGAGUCACUAGAAAAACAAGGUGGUUUUGCUGGGUGGAGAUUUGUGUCAGAAUAACUUGCAGAACCGAGCCCUCAGUUUGCAAACGGCGUCGAACUUCAGUUCAUUAAAAGAAAUUUCAGAGGUGAGCUUCGUGAUGCUUUAAACAAUCACUGGAGGAAAAUAUUGGAGCUUUCCACCAAGGCCGUGAGCCAAGCCAGGUUCCAUCUGUGCACUCUCCUCUACUUGAGUGGUCACGUCCAUGUGCCAUUACUAAGGAUGUAUGGUGGAAUCAUGCCAAGCCUUCAACCUCACAUUUUGAACUUCUCAAUAAGAAAGACGGGGGGAUGGUUUUAAAAAGCAAAAGUCCAUGUUCUUAAGCAUCAUACUUGCUCUUGGUGUCAUGGCCAAAGGAUGCAUGACUUCUCCCUUCGUACCUGUGAGUAGAUCACUGGAAGGACUGCAUGCAAAGUCUGUUUAGGCUUUCACUAGUGAGUCUCUUACCAGCAACAAGGAGGUAUUACUGGCAACGGCUGCCCAGGAAUCACUGUCCCUGGAGGUAUUCCAGAACCACAGAGAUGUGACACUGAGGGACACAGUGAGUGGACAUGGUGGGAGUGGACUGCAGUUGGACUUGAUCCUAGAGCAGCUCCUUGGCUCUACUCAAUGAGGGACUCAGUGCAUGAUGCAGCAUCCUGGGAGAAGGUACCUCUGAGAGACAAAGGUCAGGAAAUGGGCUCCUUGCCAGGCCACGGCCACGAUCCAGGUUUUCUGAGACUGAGUACAUUCAUCUGAGCUGUUAGCUGCUACGCUCCACCGCAUCCCUGUAUGAUCUGCCUAGGCUUGGUCCCCCAGAGGAAAUUUCUGCAUGCAUACUGUAUAUGAACUUUAGAUAAAUAAAUAAACACGAGAAACAGCUUCCAGAUAAUUGAAAGCGAGUGAAGGAGGGAGCAAAAAGAAAACAAUUUCUCAGGGGAGAAGCAAGCUGAGGUGGCAGGUGCAGCCUAAAUUCAGCCAAGGUAUUUUGGUUGUUCACUACCUUCGCGUAAUUAAAUAUUGAAGCACGCUGAGCUGUGGUAUCAACAUCUGUAUGGUACAAAUACCUUUUCAGCCCAGCUGGACUCAGCUGCAUUAUCUGUGACCUGAAAAGCACACGCUCACCUUGGUUAAAUGGGGCUCGACUCAGCAAUAUUCAGCAGAGCUGCGGCGGUUCCUGGCUCCGGCCACCAAGGCUCCACAGGAUUUUCACUGCUCAGGUGUUGCAAAGCCUAAUCCUUAUUCAGGAACCAAAACGCUCCCCUCUCCUUGCCUGCGGUGCUUGGAUGCCUGCCUUUGGCAGUAGCCCCAGACUCCUGCAGAAGAUGAAGACAUCCCUCCAUGCCUAUAGAUGGAAAAGCGCCAACAUGGAUGCCAUCAGAAGGACGCAGCUGAGCAUAUGCUGAGAAAAUUGUGGCAUCCAUACUGUACAUGGGGAAGGGCUGACUGAACACACCAGUUUGUUGAAGCUUAUGGCCCUGAAAAGGAAACAUAGGUUUCCUGUAAAUGUCAUUCAGGGAUAUGCUAACUGUUAUUUCCUGGCACUGGAUCAUGAUGCUUUCAACACAUUCUGUUCCUCUACCUCUGCUGCUACCUCUGCUGCCUGCCUGCCUGGUUGUGCGCAGUGAUAGCUCUCCUGUCUUCUCACCUUUCCUCCUCCCCGCGCCAGGCAAAGGUAUUCUGGUUGGGAGGGCCAAUGUCAGCGAGCGAGAUGACAGACGGAGAGAUGAAAUCUCAGCCCUGCACUCAGCCUGGCUGCUGCCUGUACCUGGGCCUUGCUGCACCAUCCCUUGAACGCAAAGCAAUUCAAGGAAAAGAGUAACUUCUGUUACAUUAGAAAUCACGCAUUUCUGACCCAGAAAGAGAGGAAUUUCACAGUCUCUCAGGACAUGUGCUUGAAGGGAGGAUUUCUGGAGCCUAAACCAGAGGAGCCCAGGAGCUGCUGGUGUGAAGGCUCACCGCAAGCACCUGCUGCUUCUGGAGGAGUUCCUGUGGCAAUGCAUGUGCUCAGGAUGAAUAGGUACAGCUGUCCAGUUCUAGUAGAUAUUUUUCCCUCUGGUUUAUACAUAUUUGAAAAGCUACACAUGAAUAAACACAUAAAUUAAUGCUAGAUGUACUUCUUAUCCAUGCAAGUGUGAGCUGUAUGUAUAUAGAUACACAUACAAAUAUGGGCAUAGUUAUCAGCCUUGGUAUCCUACUUGUUAAGGUAAUUGUGUCAUUUAAAUUCUGUCAUACUUGGUUCAAGACAGAUUCAUUAACUGGUCCUAUUUAUUACUCCAGGAUCUGAGCACCUGUUUCUUAGAGGUAAAACCAGAAUAAAUCUCCUAAUUUCCCAGGUUCUUUUACAUUUUUGCUUCGAAAUAAUGAGACGCUUAUAUUCAAAGAAAAAAAAAAUGAAAUAUCUGAUGCUGAAAAAUACAAUCAAGUUAAUUUUUUAGGUAUACCGAGGUGAAAUUAUUGCAUUUGUUUGUCUGUGUAGAUAGUUUUCUUUGUGCUGGCGUAAGACCUGAUGCUGGCCAUAUUCUGUGAACACAGUUAUUAUCAUAUUUAGUAUCUUAAAUGUGUACGUACAUAAUUGCUUUAUAUGUGUUUGUGCUUCCAACAUAUCAGACUGGCUAAGAGAGAGCACCCAUAGCAGUAUCAAAUUGCUUAUUGCUCUCUCCACAGUCAACUAGAGCACAAGGAGGAGAGGAAGGAACAACAGAAGCUCUGACUAACAAUUUCUCUCUCUCUCCCUAUUUAUUUAGGAAUCCAAGUUAACAGAAGGAAGAAACAACUCUUUUGUAGUAAUGCUCUGUAGGGCAUUAUCACAGCUAAUCUUAUGGUGGUAUGUUUUAGUCCAAAAAUGUUACUGCUCAGGUCCAUGCUACACCAUUUGUCAGUUGUUUACACCCUACAUAUGGAUUAGCACUGUAUGCCAGCCAUGAAAACCUGUUCUGCUCUUAACCCACCUGCAUGAAGCGCUGAAGCAGCUCACUGCAUCUGAUAUUUAGCUUUACUUCCUUAAGAUGUUGGACCACAAGAAGCAGGCACAGGUACAGGUAACUUGGUAGUGUAAUAAACUCUCCCCAUGUUUCAUCCACCAUUGGCUGUCAAGUUUAAAGAUGUUUGUAAUGAUUUGCCACUGGUGAAAUCCAAAGUAAGACUAGGAAUGUGUCUGUUUUGGCCAACUAGUAAUGACAGCUUGAAUGAUAUUGCACCAAAGUACUUUUGGACCACUAUUGGUUCACUGCCUGAAAAUAAAAUCUUUUUAUUUAUUUUGUCUCCUAUACCCACCAUUCAGAUUUCCUUCAGGAAACAUACCCUGGCCCCUGUCCACUAUCGGAUAGGUGAGAGCGAGGCGGUCUUUGCAGUGGUUAAGCACAAAUUUUGCAGAGAAGGGAUAAAGUGUUGUGGGCAAGGACCUGUGGGCUGAAAGUCAGAGUGACCAUGAUGCAGUGCCAUCACCCCACCUCACAGCUCAGAGUCUUGCAUAUCGCAUGGGCUGCCUGGAGCCUACACAGUUCACAGAGUGGAAAAAGGAAUUGAAGAAGCAAAAAUAAAUACUAAAGCAUGUAAGAAUUAAAUAUCACCUAUUUAAAUAGCAAUUACGCCGCUAAAAACAAGAUCACCACACCUGUACAAGAAAAGACAAGCAAGCCCAAAACAUCUGUUUGCAUCCACCUGCCAAGCACCUGUUCCGCUGUUUCAAUGCCAUUUGAUUGCUGGAGAUGUAGAGGCUCUUGUGAGGUAAUGAGUGAUUUUACAUUAUGCAUGAUUGAAAACAGGUGUUCUAAUGCUGUACAAUUCUGUGCAUGAAUAAUUCAGUUUGUUUAGAGCAAGAUCUUUAAAAGAAGUAUGGUCUUUAUUUUUUAUAAAUAUUAAAGUUAUUCUCUGCAAUGUGCAGUGGCUGGUCUUCUCAGCAGGAGCACUGAUGACCAUUUUUGUGUAAUUCUAUGGGUAGGAAAUAACACUGUGAAAGGUGAAAAAAAAAAUUAUACCUAAAGCACACAAGCAAUGAAAUUGAAAGGUUUCUUUAGCAAGGAGAGGAAAAAAACCUGUCACUGUUUUAAGCUAGAAAGCCAGAUGACUUUUGGCAAAGCCUGCUUCUCAACACUAACAAAACAGCCCAAGAGCUUAAUUAUAUGGAGGGGUGAAUGUGCCUCAGGGAUAAGUAAGAGCUAGUCCAUCUCUUGGUCUGAAUUCCAGCUGAGUCUGAAUAUGUUUAAGAAUUUGGGCUGCAUUUUUUUUUUCCUCUCUCUCUCUUUUUCCUCCUGAUUAUGAAAAGGAUUUUUGUGCAGUUGUGUGUUUUGUGCUGGUAGAAGAUGCUGCAGACUUAGGUUUUAUUUGCAGGCUGGUCGUCACACAGGAAACUGUAUGCAGAGUCCAUCAGCCCAUGCUCUUCAUCACGAACUCAGUUGCUCUUUAAGACCAUCUCCCAGAGAUGAGGAAGAUGCGUUGAUCCAAACGAGACGCAGCCAAGCUUGGAGCAUCCUCUCUGCUCCAUCCCAAGGUAAGCCUGCAGCUGGCACGGCCUUGUGCCUUCAGCCAGGGCCAUUUUGAGGUGGGAACAGAAGAAGAGAGCAGCCAAGGGUUCUCCUGCCCCAGCAUGUGCCUGCUCCCCCCUAGCUUCCUCAGUAAUUAGUGUCAGUGAUGGUGUUAGAUGCUAUUAUGGGAAGAUUCUGCUGAGAACAGAGCUGAGCUCUCCAUGUGCACUUCCCAGGGGAGCUUUGGCACUUUGUCCUCCUCCCCCACUUCCACUGCAGCCACUACAGCAGCUUCCGGGACUCACGGCUGAUUUGAUGCUGUUCUUGAAACAAAGCUGCUGGAGGGUAUUUUAUACCUGAGAGGCCACAUCCUGAGCCUGGGACAGGCAAGGACCAAAGCAGUGGAAGAGGCUGGCAGCCCUGCCGAGGUAUUGUGGUGAACAACCUAAAAUUUUAGUGAAAGUGAGCAACGUGGAAAGUAGAAGUGGACAAAAACUUUCAGAUCUUCUCAAUGGCCAUGUCCUACCCAUCGUCCUUGAUGGGGCAAUAAAGUGAGGAAAGAGUAAGAGAGGAGAAAAAGAAUGAGACGAGUAAUGUGAAAGUGGGAAUGGAUGAAGUCAAGAGGCUGAAAAAUUAAUUAAGCAUGCUGCAAUAGGCAAUUCUUAACAGACACUGCAGUGCCCUGUGCUAAAGACUGUACAGUGAUGCUAGGGCACUGAUAUUUAGUACUGCAGGUAUAGAACCCUCAAGUUUUGGAUCUUGUGGUCAUCGGGGUUGGUGGAGUGGGCUUGGGUGUGCAUUGUAGAGUAGAACAAGAGAAGGUGAAAAAUCCAAGAGACCAAAACAGCACAGUGUGCUUCAGGUCCUCACUGGGUGGACAGGGAUAGCUUAAGCUCUGUGCCCUGCACUUCUCAGGAGAUGUCAGCCCAGGGUCCCUGCAGGACUAAAAGCCUUCAUGGCCACGCUUGGCUAAGCAAGCAGACAUUUAGGGGUUUAACUGAAGUGGAUCUGUAAUCUUUCAGUAUUUUAUAAUACAGUAUGUUACAGGAGACCAUAAAUUAGAGCUUAUAAUACCCGAUCCGCUCAGCUACUGACAGAAUAUCUAAGGUAAUCUGACCUGCUUCACAGACCGUGAGAAAAAUCCUCAUGGAAAGUGAAAGAGAUGAAUUACAGAAUUUUACAGAGAAGUGGGAGAAUUUCUCUCGGCUCAGAUCUUGGGUUAAUUCCCAUGUAAGGUGAAAGAAUGUUUCACCACAUUUUGCUCAACUGAAGUUGGCAAGCUUUAAUAGAUGCAGCCCUGCAGGCUGAGGGAUAAACUCUGCUCCCUUUCACUCACUUGAGCCACUGCCCAUGUGAUCAACAAUGUGGGUAGUAAUAAAGUGAAGGAAAUAAGGGAAGAGAUCUCUGAGAGAAAGCAAACGAUGGGAUGAAAUGCUGCAAAAUGUCUGAGGAGGUGUUUUUUUCUCAUUAGGAGGGGGGAUACAUCCCAGUGCUCUACCUCCACAAUAAGGAAUGCAUUUCCUAUCUGCUCGGAGCUGUUGUUCCUCCCUGUCACAAGCAGAGAAUAAAUACAGUCUCAUAAUUACAGCAUGCUGAAGGUGGAAGCUUUUCCUAUGGAUCAACCACUCUUUUUUUUUUUUUUUUUUUUUUGCCCUCCUGGUAAUAGUUGAUCUAUAGAACGUGUCUGUGAUCGUUUCAAAUGGAAGCUAGCAGUUACUUUCUGUUUUCUGCUUUAUGUUCGGGAAAUGUGUCUCCAGAGAUGCCUCCUUCUCUCACCUCUUCCCAUAACAGUGAGAGGUGCCAGCAGCUCCUCUGCCACUUUCCUAACUAUUUCCAUUCCCCUUCUACAUACUUAUGUUUCAUACUUGCUCUCUCAGUCAAUUCCUGCAAGAACUAAAAUGUGGGUCUUGGUCGUGUUACGUUGGAUGCUGAUCUCUGAGCCAGGUCAGGUGCCUGCAGGCAGGAAAAUAUUUGGUUUUCUGCCAUCAUUUCUUUGUAUCACACCUUUACUGCAAAGUGUCCAAAGGAAAUGAACUUUUCCAGAAAAACAGCCCGAAGAAAACCUUUGGAGUUUCUCAUUUAUGAGUAUGUUUGUGUGAUCCAGGCCUUCUGUGAGGUUUCUAGAUGAUGCAUUGGUAAGAUGAAUGGAGACCUUUGUGUUAUCUGUGAUGGGGCAGAAAGCACACAGCUUCUGGAGUCUUUUGAGGAACUCAGAUGGAAGACGUUACACAAAUCCAAAGCGUGCAUUUUUUUAAUACCUCCUGUGAUUUAUUAGAUAAAUGUGUCAUCUUUACCUUAUAACUUCUUCGGCCUUGGUUUCUUUUCAAGAAUUAACCAGGAGCUGAUGAAUUUAAGGGAAAUUUUCCAGUGCUGACCAGGAGAUCUGAGAUCUUGAUAUCUCUGUGUACUUUCUCAAGGUACCAGUAGUCCCAUUUCCUCAACCAGUAGUACACUCCUUCUUAUUCUCAGUCAUAAUUGUUUUGAAACUGCCAAGUGUUCUUUCCACCUCUUUAAUUUUGUUCUCAGAAGAAAUCCUUCACUUCUUUGUAUGCAGAGGCUGCUGUGGUCUGGAUCUCAUCUCGUCUUCUAGUAACAUCUUCCAGAUUUGUUUUAAACUGAUUAGACGCUGCUGAAGAAUCAGCUCUCUCCCCCGGACAGUACAAAGCAGAGUGCUGGCAGAGCUGGCUCUUGGCCAUCAUCUACAUGGUGACGCAGCAUCACAUCACUUGACAGCCCCAAUUUCAUUUGGGGAGCUCUGAAACGUUCACAUGCACUGAAAAAAAUUAUAAUAAUACACAAGGUGACAGGAGGGUGCAAUUAAAACAGAAGCGCCAGCUUGACCAGAGAGUGGCUUUAAUUGGAGGUCUUCUGUACGCUGGAGCACAGACUCUAAAAGGUAUUUCUGCCUUUCUAAUGUGGCUGCAUUUCUGCCUCUGAAUUUUGAUUUUGAAAAACAGAAAAUGAUGCCUUUUUUAUUGGGCCAGUGAGAGAAAUUACAGGGAAUGAGCUGAGUGAAUUUAAAAUUCUCUCAGUAGGGUAUAAAGGCAGGGAAAUACUUGUCCCUCCAUAGCUCAGUAACUUCCAGUGCAGGUUAUACAUAGGAACACUCGUUCCCAGUGCCCACCUAAGCAUGGGGGUUCAUGUAAGUGAGGAUCACAUGUGUUGUCACCACCUCGAUUCUCUGCUGGAUGGAUCUCACCCUCACUUUAAACAUAAGGAAGAAAUUCAGAAGGUCACCACAUCAAAUACUAAUUCUGAAAUUCAUUUCUCCCUAAAGAUUAAUAUAAAGCCCCAAAUGAAAUACACUGAAAAUAAGCAAAGUUAGCUGCAGUAUUUGAGUCUUCCCAUCACAGUGUCCUAAGAGGUAUCCUGUGGUUUGACACAUAAUUAAUAUGUUUAUCUAUCUUUGCUUUCUUUCAUUCUUUGUUUUCAAUAACAGCCAUCACCAUAAUAGUCAAGUAUAAACAUUCCAUCCUGUUUCAUAAAGAGCCUACGGUCCAUUUUAUUGCAACACAGUUACUUUCCCAGAUCCCACGAGUGACAAGGCGUGAUGCUUGAAAAAAUUCUCUGAAAUUUUCUCACCGUUUUUGCUUGAAGUAAGUUGCAUUCUGUUUACAAACUUGGGAAAAUGGGCCUCUUUUGCCUACUUUUGAGUGUCAUGGGAACACAUACCGAGAUCUGAUCCAGUAGCACUGCGUGAUGCUGGGAGCUUCUCAGGGUCCCGUAGUUUGCCCCCGAGGGUGUUUCAGGAUGCGGUGUAAAGUUGCAUGCUGUUUGCCAUGUCCAGGGUCCCAGACACAUGGGGAAUCAGACUGGCUCCAAUAUUGAAAGCUGAUCAUUUUUCAGACAAACAUAGAUAUGACUUUUGUUAUUUAUUCACGCUGAAAUGUUAAUAUGUCCUCAUUACUCUAAAUUAUUUCAUUUUCAACUUACAGUAUGUUCAUGGAUUAUUUGAAGGAAUUACUGGCUUUAGCUUAUGUUAUCUGUGACUCACUUUUAAUAGACUUGACUGGCCAGGUAAUUUCCACAGUAUUGUUUUUGGCUCCUUAACUGGAUCCCAUCCAAGUUUACAAAGCGCUUCCACAGAGAUAAUGGAGAACAUUCCAGCCUCCUGUGAAAUGUCAGCUCUGUGUCCAGUGUUAGACGUGCAGCAUUAACCUGGUUAAAGCUGCUGGAUUCUGUAAUUUCUUUCUUGGAAGUACCAAACAUCCUAAAGACACCAAGUCAAAUCUGCCAAAAGCAGGAGAGAAAAAGAAAAUGGGAGACUCAGAGUGAGAGUGAAAAGUAAAUGCAAUGCUAUUACUUUACACCAAAGAACUGUAAGUUAAUUGAUGUCCAUAAUAAACUUUCAGUAGAAAAGUAUUAAAUAUUUUUGAAGACGUCUGUAAAUCCAGUAUUGGAAAAAAAAAAGUUACUGUUAUCUGGGUUUAAUCAGCUGAGAAAAGCAUGAUGAUAAAUAAGAUUUAGUGGAAGCAUAAAUUGAAAAUGGCGAAUAAUACUUUUAAAAGGGAGCCUACUGGAAUACGUAUGUCUCUAUGUCUCUGAGGUAUUUGAUUUGGAAUAUAUAAUCAUCUCCUUUGAGGAUAUUUAUGAAAGUUAUUUCUGAAUGUUCAGAGAUUUCUCUGCUUUUCAUUAUCUAUUUUUCUUAACAAGGGCCAGAACUGUAUGCCUGAUUUUCUGUGAUAUAUUCACUUGGGAGGUUUUCUCGUACUGGCCAAGGACACAUCGUUUACAAGAAGGUCCUGUCAAGCAUCCAAAUGUCUCUGCUGAAGCUUCCAUUUUAGAUGACCCCACAGAAUGUGAGAAAACCUUCUUUUAGGGGAAUGGCAUCUUCUGGCCAGAGCUGUGUCCUGAAAGGCUGCCGUGCUUAACGCACAGUUGAAAUGCCCAAUGCAAAUUAAUGGUAGAGGUAGGGAUGAUGUACCUGUGUUUUCUCAAGAAAGAAAACUCAAACCCUUGGGAUGAUAUUUUCUGCAUGCAUGAUUACCUUCAUUGCAAUUUGGAUUUCUGAGAAGGUCAGUUGGACUUUUGGGCCCUGUGUUCUGGAGAAAUCUGAAGAAUUUGGGUCAUCUUCCUCUCUUGACUUAAAAAUAACUUCUGUUAAUGCAAUUUGGAAAGCAUAUUUCUUUGAAUAUGAUCUUCCAUUUGCAGAGGGGGCAAAGUUUACAAUUUUGGGUGGAAACCAUGUGAAAGCUAGCAGUUCCAUCAGGGGUUUGUUUGGAAAUUUUUGGAUUUGUUCAAACUCAAAAGUCAAAGUGAAACUCGGGGGAUGUGAACCCGCUUGAAUCAAAACCAAAACAGUGAUGCGCCAGAUCUCCCAUGAACCAAAACCACCGGGUUCUCACAGUUCUCAUCCAAACAAAAAUGCACUAACAUAAAUCAAAUACCGAACCAAAUAUCCUCUUUUGCUCCAUCUGGCUUUCAUGGAAAUAACUCAGAAUAUUUAAAAGGUCUGCUCAGUUUUGCAGCAGCAACCACCAAAAUAUCCUGAGAUCAUUUGAUAUCUGGCAGUUAAUAUCCUGAUCUAUUCUCUUUAGUCAGUAUUCCAAUCCUUUUCUACCAACACUGCCUUGGAGUGCACAGCGUAACUAUCCCUUAACAUCUUCCUCGAUUGUACGGUUUCACAGGGAAGACUCUGUGAACAAUUCACUGUCCUUCUCCUUCUCAUUCUUGCUCAGAGAGCCAAGAAAGGAGUUGGAGCUGCAAGCAGAAAAAACCAAGCAGUACGAUCAGUACGGAAGCAGAACACUUAGCUGCUAUAGGACAAGCUGGGGCACUGAGAAAAUAUUUAAUGAUAAUUUUCCUUGUGAUUUCCCUUGUUUGAGACCAUACUAUGACCCUGAAAUGAGAGAAUUAAAAAAAAAAAAGAUGUUUUGCAGCAUAUCAUGUAGCAAAACGUCUCUAAAGCCAUUAAAAAAAGUGCUGGGCAUGGAAGAACAGAAAAGGUUUCCUCUGUAACUAAGACACGCUUGUUUGUAAUAACAUGUGCUUUCAAACACUGCCAAGUUGCUGAGGAUAUCUCUGUUAUAUACAAUCCUGAAAAAUGUAAGUGUUAAAAAAAACAAGGUAAUGUAAAAAAAGAAAAAAAAUCUAAAAAAAAGAAGAGUUUGAUCAGAUGGUUAAAAUCCAGUCAAACCUAAGACAACCUGUUUAUGACCUUUCCAUGCUAAAAGCUAGAAAUGUCUUUCUUUCUUUCUUUUUUUUUUUUUUUUCCACAAGAUUAAUUACCAUCACUUUGGGAGUAGUGAGCUGGACAUUAUUAUAUGAUGUCAAUUAAUGAUUAAAAAAAAGGUGGUUUGCAAAUGUAGCACCACAGUCCCUGGUGCAUUACAUCAUUUCUGAAAGAUCUUAACACGUGAUAAGCAGAGAACAUUUUAACCUAAAAGUCUGAGUGUUACAACCUCCUUUUCUGUUGUAACACCCUACCCACAACCUUUUGGCCUUGAAGUCACUCGCAAUAAAAUUAAGAAGUCAAAAAGAAAAGGGGGGAAAAAAACCUCUGGGAAAGACAAGACACACUUCUGUUUUGCUGUCGAGCAGAUAAUGCAACAAAAUGAGUGGCUAUACGCAUUGGGAAACGUGGUUGCUGAUCUUUGUGCAGUGUUCUCAGCAAGAUUCGUCAUCAAAAUCUCAUGCUUAGAGUCGUAAGGUUGCUGUGAUUCAGGUAUUAUAAACUACAUAAUGCAGUUAUCUCUGUGAGAGUGCCUCGAAAAUUUCAUGCGCUGACUGAAAUGACUCCUGCACUUGUCUAUGCGCUGCUUUCCCAGAUGGGCUGACAGUGAUCAUUUUAUGUGCCUUAUUGAAUUCGCUGAAAUAUUUAGAAGGGUUUCUACCUAUAUUUUACAUCUCCUUCUGUUAUUACCUUUUUUGCAGCAACAGUUUGACUUCUUCGUCAAUAAUACACAUAACCUGAUCCAUUCUUCUCUGAGCUCUUCUCCUCUUUUAGCGUCAAAAUGCUGUGGAUGUUCCUUUGUAAACGAUAUGCAUUUAAAAUACCUUUGUAAUAAUAAAUACCACACGAACAUAUGUAUCAAGGAAAGGAUUUCAAUUUUGAUGACACUUGCUUCUCAAGAACAGACAUUCUGGAAGGAAAAAACAUUGCCAGCCCCAAAUUGAUUGACAUUUGUUUACUUAACUCUCUCUUCUUGAAAGUCUGCACACCUAUUUCAACCUUGAACAGUUUCCAACUGUGGUAUACUGGAACAUUUUUUCAUUUAUUAAGUUCAGUGUUGCCAACCCAAACAAAGAGUAAUCAGUGAUGAUCCAAGCAGACCAAGCUGUCUAGCACCAUACAAUGUAUCUGCAUGCUAAUUUUCAAAUUCCCUCACAUUUCCAGAGAACUAAUGGGAUCAUUUUCAUUCUGUUACAGCAACUCAACAGUUACUGAAUCACCAUCUGUGUUUUCGUUAACCUGAAUCAGAUAUGAAUUCUGUUAUUGCAAGGUAGAGCAGCUUGUUUAAUGAUUCUUAAUCUUUUCUUUAAUUAAAUCAUGCAGCCAACCUGAAAAAUCUAUCUUAAUGCAAAUUAGGAGCUUUUUUGGCAUUCACUUACAGUAAUGCACUAAUAAGGUUAAUUUAUGAAGGUUCUCUUCCAGUCUGUACAGAUGAUAUUUGUUCGCUGCAUAUUUUUAGCAUAUUGUCCCCUUUUCUAAUAUUUAAAAAAAUAUCGCUAAUAAAAAAGGGGUUGUUUUCACUCAUACAAAAGAGGAAGGCUGCGAGCUGCUUUUUGUUUAUUUGAAAGAACACAGAAAAGGAAGAUGGGUUUCUCCCCUCCGUGAGCAUCUCUCCACGCGGGUGCAGAGGCACAAAUCGAGGACUGCUGGGUUAAAUGGUUUUGGAUGAGCACUCUCCACUUCUCGCUGGAGAAAUUCAGGCCCUGGUUCAGAUGAGCAUCUUGAAGUUAUCAGUGGAGACAGAGAGUUUCUCUGAACCCUUUGUUUUAUUUUUUUUCCUUGUAGGUGUGAAUUAAUUGUAUAAAGAGUAAAUAAUUCUUGUGAAAUAAGCCCGAAUACUUUCCUCAGUUGCACAAUUGCUUCAGCUCGGGGCUCUGAUGAUCUCAGUCAAGAAAAUUUCUGUCUUUGAACGCAUUCCUCCCAACUACAGAAUUAGUUGAAAUCUGUUCAAGUUGCUGAGUAAAGAGUAAACUUUGUUGUUUUCUUUUUAAGGUUAUUUUUCAACACCCACAAGCAAAUGGGGACAGCGACUGCAAAUUUCAACACGCGGCCGUUGCUAUUUAAUUAAAAUCACUGAGGCUGGCUGAAGACUUUUCAGCAGAGUGAUUUCACAUCAGAGAACACCGGUUCUCAAAAUCUGAACAUUCUUUUCAUAGAAAUCCAUCCCUCCAUUUCAACCAGGAAUGAGAUUUCAGUUCUAGGAAAGGACUUCUCAUCCCAGCUAGGAACGGCAAACCAUCACUCCCCUUUUGCGGCGGGGCUGCCCAACCGUGGCAGCCAGAGCAUCUCUUUCCACCCCUCUCUGUAUUUCCAGCUGUAAUCGUUCCAUGUCUGUCUGCAUUAACUAUUUGCACAGCUCAGGACAGGAGCUCUUGUCCGAGGAGUGGGGAAUCACCAAGGCUGUGAUUCUCUCUGUUUCAUUAAAGGUAACGCCUGCAGGGUGGUUGAACCUUCCUCUCGUUCCUUGCGACCGGGGAAUGGAAACAAUAUCUCACACUAUUUGUGCAGUGAUUCCUGGCUUGUUAAUAUUCUGGUGUGGCUGUUUUUCUCUGCUGUGAGGAACUUUGCCCACUUAGCAUGGGGUUUUGCCUCUGUCUAAGUGGGAAUGCUGCUUUUCCUUUUCCCUUCUUCCAUUUGGAAAGCUGUUUUCCUGCCAUUGCUAGUCCUUUCUGUGUAAUAUUACCGCAGAGAGAAUGAAAAGUAACUGCUUUCCUUCCCAUCCAAUCGUACCUACGUAGUCUUAAGUAUAUUAUAUGCUUCGCUUCCUGCUUCACCCACUAGUAAAAUAUGUUGAUAGAUGAAUAUGGGGGUAAGAUUGCUUUAAUUAGAACCUAUUGCCCUGCACACUAUCUUCUCUAAAGACUACCUGUAUUAACAUCUGGGGAAAAUAAGUCUUAAAGAAAAUUUCCUAGGACAGAUUUUUGGACUUCACCCCCCACCUUCUGCUUCCCAACCCUUUCAAUUUCUCAAGUAUAUUUAAAAAUGCAUGACUCACCCUGUUGCUUCCUUAUAUUUUAUGGUGAGGUGGUGAGGGGGAGUCUCUUCAUUUUCAUUCCUGGGAUUACCUUUAAUGAAGUGGAAAACAUCUACGGGAUGGGAUAAUACCUGAUGCUUACAGUUUUCUUUACAUCACAUUACAGUAUUUUCUCAGGUAUUAAAGUAGCACUGGACUCAACUAAGAGGAGUGAUCAAACUGUCUACUAAUGAAGUUACUCUGACAGGAACUCCAGGAACCGGAAACUGAACUUCAGAAUCAUGAAGAGCACUGCUAGAUGAAGACAUGGGCUGGAUACAUGUCUACCACACUAGAAGAAACUGAAAGAAUACGAUCCCAUUUGACUCCAAAAGUCUUUCUAGGCUAAUUACCAGCUCACAGAGCAGAGAAAUUAAGGCAGAGAGGGAAUGUUCAUGAUGACAACCUUUACCCAUUAGCAAGCUUUGCAUUUUCCCAAGGCUGAAGACAGUUUAGCCCUGACAAAUCCAAUCAGUGAUAUGCAGGCGUAACCUCCAGAAAUAAGCUCACAUUUUUGGGAUCCACGGGGCAAAAGAUGGACUGCAGUAAGUCACUAUGAAAAUAUUUAAAAUACAGCUUGGCCAGUGCUGAAAUGGCACAGUUGGCCUGAAGUCGCUUCAAGGUCUCCUGGCAUCUGCGUGUUUCCCCAGUGGCUUUGUGCAGUAAAGUGUUAACUUCUCCUGAGUGGUUACGUGUUUAAGGCAGUAACUUUAAAAUAAAGAACUGCAACCUUAGAGCAAAGCUGCUAUUUUGAGAAUUUUAAACCAUUAUUGACUCCUGUCAGAUCAGUUUCUAGACUUAUUGACUCAAGAAGUAAAUAUAGACUGAGAGAAAGCGAGGUCAAGUCAAUAUUUAUCUUGCAGAUCAAUACAUUUUGAUACUAACCAAAAAUUAAGCUCAAUAAAUGCAUAUAUUAUACACAGCAAGGUUAGAAGAGAUCCAUUCAGAAAAUUUGUCAAUUUGAAAUUUCCCAACGGAAUCCAACCUUUUGGAUUCAAUUUCCAUUAGAAAUUCUGUCCCUUUAAGGUUGCUUCAGUGACUGAUCACGAGCCCCCAUCACCCAAUCAGGUUUCCAGAUGAACGUUGAGUAGCAGCGAAAGGAAAAGGGAAGAAUGAUGAAGUGAGAAGAAGUUGGUCACAGGAGCUCGAUUACGGUGUUAGGAGGAGACUCGGCAGGGAUUGAAAUAACUAAAAAGAGAAAAAGAAAAGUGUUGGUUUUAUUAGAGCGAGUUUCAAGGUCUGUCUGUUUGUGCACAGUCCAAAUCUCAGGCGGCUCAGCUUAGGGUUUGUACCAUCAGGAGAACGGAAGAGCUGGCAAGCUGAGACACUACCAGUACUUUGUGGAAACCGACAUAUGAAUUUGUUCUACAAAUGUGCCAGGGACACACUGAUCCAACAGUUAGAUCACUUCCAGAAGACACGGAGUUAGAUCUCUGAGUUCACUUCCAAUUGCUGACUACUACUAUCCAAUAAAAGAAAAAUUCUGCGUAAAGUAAACAAGGAAAAUGGAGGAGAUUCUGCUGGAAGGACAGAAGGGACAGCAAGCAUGGAGAUUUAAGUCAGAGGAAGACCAACUGUCACUGCAGAGGGGAAAGGGCAUGAGAAUGAGCACUGCAAGAAAAAAAAAUCAUCAAAAAAUUCCUCCUUCUCUGGGAUGAAUACAGGGGAGUAAAUGUGUUCCUACAAAAAUUGAAUUAUGUAGUGAUUUUAAAUAUGGUGUGAGAAUGAAGGACAUAUGAGCUGCAACGAGAGAACCAAAGAGGAAUUAUGUGAUGUGUUCAGGCUGGGAGUGUGCCUCACAUGACAACAGGAAGAGAGGAAAGGUGGAGGAAAAAAAGAUCAGAAUCUACUCUAUUCUGAGCCAUUAAUGUCAGCCAUGUUGAUGUUUUGUAGCUAGUUAUAUUUGCUGAUGGUUCCCACGCACUCAUGACAUUCAACUUUGCAUCAUCCCCUAAAAACUGGAAAGAUGUCUCUCUGAGAAUGACCUAUAGCUUUGAUAUCACCAUAACUAAUUUCCUUUUCCUAAAGUAAUGGUGCCUACUCUUGAGGAGCAGAAUGCUGUGAGCUUUUAUUUCCAGUCUGAGGAUAGUUCUGUGAUAGGUGGAAUAAUGCCAGAACCUACUUUUCAUUAGAUUGUAUGAUCUGACUUUAUCUUGCACGCUCUGUGUGGUUUGAGUGAAUAAAUCACACCAGAAUUUAUGGGGUUUUCAUCCUUACAAAUGAAUCUUCAUCAUUACUAUGUGGAUAUAAGUAUUCUUGGGCUGCAGAAGACAGUGAGACCCACCAGGGCAACACAAACUGAUGCCAACUUGCCACCUACUACUCCCUUAACCCAAAACUCCAAGGACCUGGGCCACUGAAACACUGGGAUCCCAUAGGGACCUGCCUGGCCAUUCCAUUUGGGGUUUGCAGGACAGGAUCCUGGUCUUUUGUGAAAACUGUUGACUAAAAAUUUGAUUUUCUCUUUCUCUUUUUUUCUUUUACCUUAAGAAGGGCAGAAGAGGAAUGGCCAGAAGCCACCUCCUUCUUUUUUGGACCAGCCUGCUUUUCUAAGGGCAACAAAAACCAACAGAAGUGGUAGAGAAGAUGAAUGCAUCUUCCCUCCCUUCACAUAAAUUUGUGGGUUUUUUUUUCCUGUUGUUGUUGUUUUAUCCUUUUUUGUUUUAUUAUUUUUCCUAUUUAUUUUGCAAUUGGAAAAGUCCUGGGAUUUCAUUAACAACUUCCCAGGAUGACAGUGAGACCCUCACGACCCAGCAGCGAGUCCCAGUUCCCACCUGGGUGCCUCUGGAGAGUGACAAAUCUCUUGGAUGUGCUCUAACAUCCCAGAAGCACAGGCCAGGAACAUCUGUCUGUUCCUUCCCUUCCUUCAGACUGCCCCGAGGAGGAGGGAGGCAGGCAAGUAAUGAUACGAAAGGCAAAGGCUCGACUGGCCGUGUUACAUUAGCCAACUCAAAUAAUUCCUCUUGGCUGUGGAAACAGCCUUCCCAUCCAAAGCGGUCUUUUUUUUUUUUUUUCCCUUUUUCCCCCCCAAAAAACAAGAACAGCUUAUUUCCAAUUUUGGGCAGGUUCCUUGGCCAUGGGCCAGCUCUCCCCAUUGCCUCUCCGUGCUACUUCCCAAUGACCCUCAAGUGACCUUACUGAAUGCCACGGGGACCAAACCUUACCGAACAGCAAAAUCAAAGUAUGCAAAUGAAGCUUGGAUUAUUACAUAUAUAAUGAUGAAAAUGUUUUUCCUAUGCUAUUGCCUGUGCCCAGCUUCCUUCCCUACCACUCUGAGUGCUUCAGAGCUGUGUAUAGCUGUUGAGCUGAAGCACCCAAGAAUGGCUCUGAAGCAGGAAGAGAGUUCAAUCUGCAGGCUGGUUUUCCAGGCACUUUCUUUCUCAUUCUCCACAAGAUAGUUGAUAUUCCUCCGGAUUUUGCUGUUAUUAUUUGGGUGUCUCUACUUCACAGAAAAGGGCAGAUGAAUGCCUUUUGCAGCCUCUUCAGUCCACUCUAGUUCUAUUUUAGGCUGAGAAGACUGUGCUGCUUGGGUAGAUGGGUGCAUUUCAUGCCAACAGCUUAGUCUUUCUGCAAAGUUAGGCAUCUCAGUUUGAAAAAAUAAGUACUAGGUAAAGCUGUUUGAAUCAGUGCAGGAAGCUGAGUUGCUAUCAGAUGUAUAUGGCAUAAAGUACGUAUCCUGAUAGGUACUCUUCUUCAAAGGAAAAGUGGUGAUGUUUACUUGUGCAUUUUAAUGAUGAGAGGAUGCGUACUGUGACACGAAAUCCUAUCCACUGUACCAGUUCAACAGCAUUUAAACACUGAAGUCUGAGCUACGCAUAACCAAUGGGAAGGAUGUGGAAGAACGCUUGCCUGAAGACACCUACUCUUUAUUUUUAUUACAAAGUCAAUUACCAUUUCAAAGCAGCCAUGUGACAUGUAUACUGUCAGGAGCCAGAUGUUGGCAUUGUGAUAUUGUGACAUUAAUUUAAAAGAAGAGUCUUUUUUUUUUUUUUUAAAUGCUGACUUCCCAAGGAUUAAGUUGGAUAUUCUCAAUGUAGUUGAAAAAAGAAUUUACAUUCCCCAAAGACAAACAUUCUUGUUUUCUGUUUGGUUUUAUAACUCAGUCAUUUCUCUAUUGAAGAAGCACAAAACAGAAAGAACUUUUGGUUUCAGGUAGUUUCACUUCAGCUGAUCUUUCUAAAAGCAUGCACCUUUUUAGCUGUUUCAGUUAUGAAUCAUAGAAUGGCCUGGGUUGAAAAGGACCACAAUGCUCAGCCAGUUCCAACCCCCCUGCUAUGGGCAGUUGCCAACCACCAUAUCUUCUUUAUAAAGGGAAGUUUAUUAAGUAAAAUUUGGGUUACUGAGGUUUUAGCACAUGUUGCAUUGAAUCCCUUUUUUUCCCCCCUAAAUCACGUGGUUAAACUUAGUUUGGGUCUCUUACAACCAGAAUCCCUGCUGACUCCGCUCUGGUCCAGGCAGAUUGAACUGAGUCGCAACACUGCUGGUACGCGUCCUCAUCCCCAGUGCCAAGAAAAACCCUUUCCCUCUGUGUUUUCUUGUUAGCAAUACUGCUAUGGAGGCCAAGGACUGACAAUCUUUCUCUUAAUUCUCAAAUCCUCUCCUCCAACAGGGAAGAAGGAAAAAGAUUGAAAAACCUUUUGCUAUUGUUUGGUUGUUUGAUCAUAAAGGGGAACUAGACUGCCAAGCCAGCACCCCAGCAGCCCUAAAUCUAUGUGUAAAAUAUGGGCAAAAGGAGAGAAAAGAUUUAUUGUUAUUAUUAUCAUUACAGACUACCUUUAUAAUAUAUGUGUUUCACUUAAAUUAAUAUUUUAUAACUCUAUAUCAGCCUCUGCAGCCACCCAACAGCAUUUCUUAUUUAUCCAGUCGGACAUACUAAUUUGCUUUUAUCAAAAUACUUGAGAAAUAAUUGUCUUACCUCUCCUAGGACAUGCUACAGGGUUUAUUCUCUCCUUGCUAUCUACAUAGUUAUAAAUCCUCAUGCAUUGAGAGCAGAAUAGGCUUUAUGUGUCUAGCAAUUUCUUAUGAUUUCUAGGCUAUUAUCCCCAAAUCCUAAUUAACCAUUUUUAAAAAUAAUGUGGCCUUUCUACCACGUGAGAUAUACCAACAUGAUAAGAUACGAUGUGAAAGUCCCAAGUAUAAUGUAAUUCUGCUGCUUUACUUUUCCUCUUUUAUUAGAGAUUUCUAACAUAAUACUGCAUUUUCAUCCAAAGUGACAGGAUUCAGUACAUAGUUUGUAGUAUAUGUUUUGCAAACUGCCAGAACAGAGCCAUUGAAUUUAGUUUUCUAAUAAUCAUACAGCCAUACAACACGCCUGUACAUGUCAGAAACUGAAGAAAGCAAAUUUAUACACAACAAUGUGUAUUUUGUAGAUAGCGAUAACCCACCCAAAUCUAAUUUAAUCAAAUAUUUAAAGAGGUAAUAAUUAAUUUUUAAAGAAUUGAAGUGAACCGUAACUAGGAGGAAAUGUUAUUGUUUAUUUUUAAUGCCAGAACUGUAUUCCUGAUGCAUUUUUAAUAUUUCAUUAAGGUGGUAACUUUCAUGGCGUAAUUUUUAAAGUUUCAUAUCUCCCUGAUUUAUUUCUUUUCUUCUGAAGAAAGGUAAAAUGCUAUAGGGAAACUUAAAGCUUAGAAUGAUGCAUUCUUUGAGGAGCUCUUCCUAAAACUUCCUGGAGUCUUUUUAAGCAGAAUUCUUCUUAAGCCUUUCUGGACAAGCAUUCUAAAACCAGAAGUCUUUUAAACAAGCUGAGGUACAGCAUCUUCUUCUGAGCUGAGCAAAGGGUUCUUCUUUCAGCCAAUGAAUGUGUUCAUCGGGUACUACUUUCUAUUCUGUCUCCGAGCUAUUACUCAUCACUCAUCAUUCUUACUUUCCAGAAGAGAUAUCUGCAAGAAUGGUUUUAAAGCCCAUUGCAUUUCAAACCUGUGUUCUGCCCUUCCUCAGUCCUUUGUUUUUUGUUUUAUCCCUUCUUUUCGAUGGAGCGUCUCUCACGUUUUUGAGCCUUUCAUACUCAAACUGUGGAAGCCUGUUUAUUUCACUCUGGCUCCAGCCCUAGUUAAAGGUGUGAACUACCAAAGUGGAAGGGGGCACAUGCACAUUAACACUGCUGUGGAAAACGUCGCCUGACAGAUGGAUGCAUGUUAAAUGGGUGUUUGAAGAAAGGUGUUUGCAAUAAAAAUCCUGAGUAUGGCAUCAGAGGAAGACCACACACAAUUUUCUACUUUUAUUUCUGUAAUAUAUAGGGGCCAGGCUACUUCUGGUCUGCUUUAUACUGUCACUUAAUCAUAUUUGCUAUUUUAUACUAAUAAUUUGUAUAUUAAUAUUUGUGUGUGUAUUUCAAAGUCUGGCUGUUUUCAAGGGUCUGCUCUGCAGCACAAGGGUCUGAGUCAACAUAGUAUAAAUCAUUGGUUUAUUCAAUAAACAAAAUAGUGAAAGGAUAAAUUGAAUUUCUCCAGUUUCAGUCACCAGUUCUUGAUCUCUGGGGGAUACUCACCUAAUAUGUUAGUUAUGGAGCUAUGAAUAUGAUGUGCAGAUACAUCCUUGCUUGGGUUUAUCUACCUUGACCUUAUCUACCCUAAGAACUGAAGUGUUUAAAUUCUGGUUGAGAAUUGAAGCAGGUGAUUAGAACUAGAUGAUCUUUGAGGGCCCUUUCAACCCAAGCCAUUCUAUGACUCUUUGAAAGAGGAACUGUAGAUAAGUUCACUCAAUUUCUGUUCCUAAGUCCUUAGCUGUUCUCUGGAUGGAUAACAGGAUUUUUUAGGCACAGCAUUGCAUUCUCUACCAUCUUUGCUCUUUUCCCAAAAUAUUUCUGACUCAGUCAUCUCCUGCCUACACAGCGAACUUUUGCGCCCCCUGACUUAGGCUGAAUUGGUUUCUCUUUAUGUACAAACAGGACUGCUUUUUCUUUCCUGAUUUCAUAAUUGCUAUUUCUAUUGGUUUGCUUCUUUUAGUUUUCAAUUCUACUUCAACUUGACUAUGAAGAUUAUCAAGAAAUAAAGCAUGAUUCACAUCUACACAUAGUUUACGACCUUUAGAUUCAAGUCCCUUUAUAUAAACUUGCAAAUACGAAAGGAUACGUCAUAAGACCUUGUAGGCACCCAAACUGUCAGUGAAUUCAGCCUGAAACUGUUUUUUUCAGCUUUAUUGAGACCUCUUUAUAAGCUGUGCUCGUGUUAUGACAAUAGAUUGUUUACAGAUUCUUAAAAUGUCCUGAGUUGAUGGAAAAAAAAGGGCAAUUUUUUUCCUUACAAAUACCACUUGACUUUGAGGAGUGUUUGAAGCUACACAACCAGAAUAGGAACAUUCACACCCGCUGUACGAGUGGCUCAAAAACCCUGUCAUUUCUCUCAGGCCCAGCUCCAGCAAGCACUUACACACAUGCUUAACUUUAUGCACACGAGUAAUCCCAUUGAUUUAAUGGGAUUAUUCCCCUAUGCACAGUUACGCAAACAUAAGUGUUUGCAGGACUGGGGUCUAUUUCUCUUGCAAUGAUUUGAAACCUGUGGAAGAAAACGCUAUAUGCAAGUUAGAUAUUAUUUAAUGGCCACAUAUUAAGCCUGAAUAUUUCUGCUGAAAUUGGUGAGGCUGUGUGAGUUUCUUUCUGGCUGAGAAACUGUCCUCUUCUGUGCACAGUGUACACUCCUAGCUUGCUAUGGUGCACCAUGGCUAUCACAGCAUACAAAGGCAUAUGGGAACUGUUGAGUCACAGCCUGAACCACUGACUGAGCACCUGGGGAAAGGACCUGGUCAGCCCUGGGAGCACAGGUGAAGGCAAUUCACCUGUAUGACUGGAAGGGGUGCAGCCUGGCUCCACCUCUCUUAGAUCUCAUUUAAGGGCUGACUGCCACUGGGGAAGGAUCUCCUUCUGGAGAUCCCUCCUUGAUGGAGCUUUCCUUUGUGAACCUGGAAUCAUCUGAUACAGGUGAGCAAUCUUCUUCCCUUCUGUUAUAGCACCUGUCUAUCAUGCUUAUCCUUCAUCAUUAUAUGUCUAGUGAAACACCUUUUCCCAUCAUAUUGAUCUGUCCAUUUACUACAAAAACAAAAUGGAGAGAUAAUCAGUAGUAGAAGUACUAAGAGAGAAAAUUCUCCAUGUCCAGAGGUUACUGUAUUUCAAAGCAUUGAUUUAUAACUUGACAAUGACAUUUACAAAACGUUCCUCUAUGUCCAGGAUAUCCUUCUCAUUAAUGCAAUAACAUAAUAACUCAUAAAUAUUUCAUAUACGUAGAAAAGGCUUACUUUAUAUAUAUAUGUGUGUGUAAAUAAAGAAAUCUAUACACAUAGAGAUGUAUAGUAGAAAAGUACUUCCAAGCAUCAAAAAACUAUGCAUAAAAUUGUAUGCUCGCAUGCACAGGAUGAGCACUGUUAUGAAAAUAACUUUGGUAAAAAUAACUGAACUUGAAGUUGCCUCUGACUUGGAUAGUUCACUUUUGAUUUGAAAUUCUGCAGCCAAGAUAAUUUUUAAAAAUUUAGGGCUAGUAACCAUCUGCCAUAAAUGAUAGAAAUUAAAUAUAAAUAAAAUAGUACUUCUACUACCAGUGAUGGGAAUCACAAGCCAAAUGUAUCCAUGGUCUAGGCAGCAGGAACACUUGUAGAACGAAAGCAGCUAAAGGAGCUGUUUUGGCCCAGACAUGUUUUGAUGUGUAGUGUAUCCUGUUGGCUGAACAACAGCAUUAUUAAGCAAUUUGGGCUGGAGCAUCACUGGGCUCUGUGAAGAAUUUGAAGAUCUUGACUUGAGCGUGUUGCAAGAAGAAUCAUGCUGUGUCAUUCAGUAAAAAUAUAAUCAGUCUUACGCCACUGGCACAUUCAAACACCUAGUGGGAUAUGCUGGGCAUCAGUGUUCAAGGUUUUAUGUAAGGUAACAGCUGCUUUGGUCAGGCAGUUAAUUAAAUGUGUUAAUUUUCCAUACAACCAACAGUAGUGACAACAGAUCAAAGUGGAAUUUUAUGACAUUUCAGGGUUCCCUUAUGUGAUCACAAUGGUGGAUGGCACCCACGCUAUCUUUCACAUCCCUUCACUGUAUGAUGCUGCCUUUCCCCUCUGGAAAGCUUCAGUCUUUAACUCUGCAAAUACUCCAAUGGUAGUACUUUGGUACUACUUGCUGGAUAUUGCCAGUUGUCCCAACUCCAAUCUUGAAAAGCUGCUUGGGCUUAUUCCCAUACUGAUGUUGGUUUAGUCUGAAGAUGAAGCAAUUCAUUUGCAAAGCUAUUUUGAAUUUUCUGCCUCCUGUCUUACAUUUCUUAUGAGAAAUAUUCAAUGAGCAGAUAUGUAGUGUGGAAAUAAACUAGUAUGGUAUUUUUGAAUAGAUACUGUAUUCUUCAGAUGUAGAAUUACAGAAAAUUAUUUCCUUUUCCUUGAUAGUUCCGUUUGCUGCAUUGCGAGAUGACAAAUUCAACCUUUUCCAUAACAUUGCUACUUUCAUAACACAGUAAUAACUCAAAGGCAUCGGGAAAGAUAAGUGUUGCAGUAGAAAGAAUCUUUCCCAUAAAGAACAACGUGACAAUUUUCACACUGAACUUUCUGCCAUGUACAUCUGUGGCGGCGGUUCUGCAGAUACACGCACACCCGACCUGAAAUCAGCCCUGAGAGUAGAUGGGUAUGUUUGAUGAAGGGGUCAAUUAAACCACAGAACCUUUCAGCACCCUGUGUCCCAGAUGCUGGACCACAUAGCUAUGAAGUGUGGUGAGGAUGGCUCACCAGCCUUAUCGCUCUGCCUUGUAGGUUCCCAUCCUCAGAAAGCCACAGGCAUAAAACACAUAAAAUCAUAGAAUCACCAAGGUUGGAAAAGACCCACAGGAUCACCCAGUCCAACCACUCACCUAUCAUAAAGAGAUCAAAGAUGUGAAUGAGGAGGAAGCACUUCUAUUGUGCAUUUCUUCUGAAGGUGCAUCCACUAGCUGAGUGAAAUUUGGAUAGUGGGAAAUGUUUAUUGUCUGAAAGAGUGGUUGGACACUGGCACAGCCUGUCCAGGGAGGUGGUAGAUUCCCCAACCCUGGAGGUGUUCAAGAACUGUGGAGAUGUGGCACUGAGGGACAUGGUAAGUGGGCAUGGUGGGGCCGGCUGGUCUUGGGCUUGGGAUCUUAGAGGUCUUUUCUAGCCUUAAUGAUUCUGUGAGUCUAUGACUGUAAUGUCAGAAAUGGUUUGAACUAAAUAGUGUAUUCUAACUUGCAAAGAAAUAUAUAAACAAGGCCUGUUGACCAAGAAGCCAUAGGAGUGAUGAAAUCCAUGUUGCAAAUUAUUUUGCUUCUACAUUUCCAAUGGAAUUAAUGACCAUUCACAAAGAUUUUAAUCUCUGACAUAGAUGAAUGCCAGGAAAUAUAAUUUUAUAAUAUUCUGAAGUGUUUAUAGCACAUAACAAGCUUUCAGAAUGUGGUUAUAAACUUGAUUCAAGUCCUACAGGUAAAUAACAUAAGAAAGGAAUAAGUUAUCUUACAUUUUGGAUACUAAAAAAGCAGAUCUCUCAACAAAGUCCAACCAGGGAAUGUUCUGUUGCCUAGUCAGUCUGUGUGACAUAGUCAGACAUCUCAAAAAUUAGGGUGUUUCUCAUUAAGAAGAGUCAAGAAGAGUGCCAUUAAGAGCAGUCACCACCUGUAUGGAGCGCAGAGCUCAGCACACCUGGCAAGGGAACUCCUCGCCAUAAAACCAUGGCCAUGAGUCCAACCAAAAAACUGCAGAAGAAGAGGAAAAUUAGUAAAGAUCUCUUCUGUAUAUAUUUCCCAGUGAAGUGUAGUAUCUUCAAACUGUUUCUUGGUAUAGCAUCUUUGAUGCCAGCACUUAUGUCAGAUGAGUCUACAAAGAUGACGAUUGACGUCACUGGAGAAUCUACAAGUUCUCUGUGAGCAAAGAUAGACAAAAACAGACCAACAAACCAAAUUCUUCUCCCUGGACUAACAUAAGACCUAAACAUGCACGCAGCUCUGCACAGCCAUAUCUAAUUGUAAGGUCAUGCCUUUCCUUAAUGAGCUUGCUAAAAGUUUACACCAAGUUUCCUCAGUGAAACAGGUUGGGUCUCAUUGAUCUCCAGCCAGGGCUGUCAUUAAAGAGGAUGGGGUUCCAAUUUCUGAUUAAUGAAAAUUAUAAUUACGUACAGAUAACAAAGAGAGAGACGCGUUUCCAUGUUACUUUAAACAAAGAAGAGUUAAGGCCUUAUCUUAACUAUGCAUUGGCACUGCAAUGCGAAAUGGUCAUGCAAAAUUAAUUUUUAAUGUGUUCAAUUUAUAUUAAAAAUUUCUGCAAGUGUGUGAUUUUUUUUUUUCUAAGGCUGGAGUGCUACUUCAUUUACAAUAUUCCCUGAAGGUGUUUUUUUUUUAAAGAGACUCUUAAACUGAAGCCAUUUUAAGGGUUUUAUGAGACAUUAUGUGAG
ensembl:lncRNA